rnacentral:tmRNA from 1 species
GGGGAUGAAAUGGCUUCGACGGGGUGAUGGAUUUCUCUUGUGGCAUACCGUGCUUAGUGGUGUUGCACGUUAAUAAAACCGCUGCAUUGAAUAAAUGCCAACAAUAAUUACGCAUUAGCAGCUUAAAAACCGCUGCUACGCUUUUCAAAGGACUUGCCUAUCAGUUCUUUCCAAAGCGCCGAAAACCGAUAGGAUAGUUUAAGUUUGCUCACAAGGGGCUUAAAUGAAAAUCAAACUUGUGAUAGCUGUGGCGCUCCUGUCGUUUGGAUAAGGCUGCAGCGAUAUUCAAAAAGCGACUAAGUAUGUAGAAGCAGUGAAAGAAGCUCUCUGGACGCGGGUUCGACUCCCGCCAUCUCCACAA